UACAGAGGUCUCGAGCGUUAGGCGGAAUCACUGGGCUUAAAGCGUGUGUAGGCGGAUCGUUAAGUACCUUGUGAAAUCCCACGGCUUAACCGUGGAAUUGCUGGGUAUACUGGCGGUCUUGAGCCACUUAGGGGCUACCGGAACAAAUGGUGGAGCGGUGAAAUGCGUAGAUAUCAUUUUGAACGCCAAUGGUGAAAACAGGUAGCUGGGAGUGUGCUGACGCUGAGACACGAAAGCCAGGGGAGCAAACGGG
rnacentral:rRNA from 1 species